rnacentral:rRNA from 1 species
GCAAAGGUAGCAUAAUUAUUAGUUUUUUAAUUGAAAGCUUGUAUGAAGGGUUGGACGAGAUAAAAUCUGUCUUUAUUUAAAUUACAAUAGAAUUUAACUUUUAAGUCAAAAGGCUUAAAUGUAUAUAAAAGACGAGAAGACCCUAUAGAUCUUUAUUUAAUUAAUAUUUUGAUAAUUUAAGAUUAUUUUAGUUUAAAGUUUUAAUUAAAUUUUAUUGGGGUAAUAUAGAGAUUAAAUAAAUUCUUUUUAUUUAUUACAUUGCUUUAUGAAUAUAUGAUCCAAUAUUAUUGAUUAUAAGAUUAAGUUACCUUAGGGAUAACAGCGUAAUUUUUUUGGAGAGCUCAUAUCGAUAAAAAAGUUUGCGACCUCGAUGUUGGAUUAAAAAUUAGCUUGGGUGCAGAAGCUCAAGAUUUUGGUCUGUUCGACCAUUAAAUUUUUACAUGAUCUGAGUUCAGACCGGCGUAAGCCAGGUCGGUUUCUAUCUUUAUUUAUCUAAAAUAUUUUAGUACGAAAGGACCAAAUAUUUAAUAUAAUUAUAUUUCUUUUUUGAAUAAUAUU